rnacentral:misc_RNA from 1 species
AAAAUGCGAUAAGUAAUGUGAAUUGCAGAAUUCAGUGAAUCAUCGAAUCUUUGAACGCACAUUGCGCCCUCCAGUAUUCUGGAGGGCAUGCCUGUUCGAGCGUCAUUUCAACCCUCAAGCCCCCGGGUUUGGUGUUGGGGAUCGGUCCGUCAAGGACCGGCCCCGAAAUCUAGUGGCGGUCUCGCUGCAGCCUCCAUUGCGUAGUAGCUAACACCUCGCAACUGGAACGCGGCGCGGCCAAGCCGUUAAACCCCCCAACUUCUGAAUGUUGACCUCGGAUCAGGUAGGAAUACCCGCUGAACUUAAGC